GUGCUUGCAUAAGCAGCAUACAUACUAAAAUUGGAAUGAUGCGGUAGAUUAGCAUGGCUUCUGAACAAGGCUGACAUACAAGUUUUCUUAACAAUUCUAUUAUUAU